CCGGGUAGGUCCGUGGGGGUCCUUUCACUGGAGACUAAGCCCCCCCUUCCCCUGCGACCUCGUCAUCCCUCUGGGGUUCGAGUUUGCAGGCCCAGAGCCAGUCCUUUCCAAUUCUCACUUCAUCAAAGAAACGACAAAACUCUGUCAGCAACGUCUGAGCCCGUUCAGAGCCACCGACUGGAUUCCCAUUUGCAGUAUCAGUUCUCACUCUGGGACGGUAACGGUCCGAGGAGGCCGAGCGGAACCUUUGUCCGCCGAAUUCCAGGUACGAGAUGGAGCCGGCCGGAGGAUUCGGGCGCCUUGGAUCGCCGACUUCUCCCCUCCGUAAAACCGAGGUAGGAAAUUCUUGGUUGGUUUAAAUCCUGGCAUUUUCCUUUGGAAAGGGUUCCAAACCCGGUCACGUUCUUUUCUUUUUCUCUACGCGUUCACGCACGCGCACACGUACCUUAUGUAAAUAUACCCAAGUGGAUGCGUUCGAGUAAAACGUGCCCGUGGGUUCGUUAUGUCCUACGUGUUUGCCGAUGGUGAAUUUCACCUGAGGGUUCGUAGGAGAAGCAAAAUAGCCUAGUGGAAAGACCUCGGGCCUGGGAGUCAGGGGACCCGGG
rnacentral:lncRNA from 1 species